UAAUAUGCACAGGAAUUACUCCACUUCCUAAUUCCUGCGACAGAAAAGAAAAGGAGGAUCAUCCGCUAACUAGCGGUGCAGCAUUGUGGAGACAUGCUGUAAUGCGUCGGACAUUUUACCUGUCCCUCGCGAGGCGGGCAGUUGAAGAAUUUCGUGCCCGUCAUAGUUCAGAAGAAUGGCA
rnacentral:ncRNA from 1 species